CCUACGGGUGGCUGCAGUAAGGAAUAUUGGUCAAUGGACGAAAGUCUGAACCAGCCAUGCCGCGUGAAGGAUUAAGGCCCUCUGGGUUGUAAACUUCUUUUAUAUGGGACGAAAAAAGGGCUUUCUAGCUCACUUGACGGUACCAUAGGAAUAAGCACCGGCUAACUCCGUGCCAGCAGCCGCGGUAAUACGGAGGGUGCAAGCGUUAUCCGGAUUCACUGGGUUUAAAGGGUGCGUAGGUGGGUUUGUAAGUCAGUGGUGAAAUCUCCGGGCUU
rnacentral:rRNA from 1 species